rnacentral:hammerhead_ribozyme from 1 species
AUCCAGCUAACGAGUCCCAAAUCGGACGAAACGCACGUCAAACUGGAU